rnacentral:rRNA from 1 species
GUAUGUAUUUUUUGAACAAGGACGUAAGCUGGAGGAUCGAAGAUGAUUAGAUACCAUUGUAGUUCCAGCAGUAAACUAUGCCGACGAUGUGAUAUGAGAUGUUGUAUUACAUUAUAGAAAUUAGAGUUUUUUGGCUCUGGGGAUAGUAUGAUCGCAAGAUUGAAAAUUAAAGAAAUUGACGGAAGAAUACCACAAGGAGUGGAUUGUGCGGCUUAAUUUGACUCAACGCGAGGUAACUUACCAAUAUUUUAUUGUUCUGCGAGGAUAUGAUCUGAGGAUGAUAAUAGUGGUGCAUGGCCGUUUUCAAUGGAUGCUGUGAAGUUUUGAUUAAUUUCAACAAGACGUGAGACCCUUUAUUAGACUGACACUAUUAGUGUAGGAAGGAAAGGACUAAAACAGGUCAGUUAUGCCCUCUGACAUUUUGGGCAGCACGCGCAAUACAAUAGACUUUAAUCUUUAUGGGAUAAUAUUUUGUAAGAGAUAUUUGAACUUGGAAUUGCUAGUAAAUUUUAUUAAAUAAGUAGAAUUGAAUGUGUCCCUGUUCUUUGUACACACCGCCCGUCG